AUGGCAUGUCAAUCUCCAAUCAGAGAGCAGCACUGCCCAAAUAGAACUCCCAGGAGGUAACAGCGUGUCACACAUGUGAUGUCAUAACCAUUGUCCACCAGAGAGCAGCACUGAGCAGAAAUAACACUGCUCCUGUUCAUUCUUCAUCAGUGAGGGGCCGGUGCUGGACACUGUAGGGACGCGGGAAUGCAAAGUCAUACACAUGACUGUGACUGAUGCACUAUUUCCAGGACAUGGAGUAGCAUUUCCGGACCUACAGCAAGACGUUGGAUGAAGGCAUAGCCCCAGAAAUAACACUGGUCCUGUUCAUUCUUCAUCAGUGAGGGGCCGGUGCUGGACACUGUGUAGGGACGCGGGAAUGCAAAGUCAUGCACAUGACUGUGACUGAUGCACUAUUUCCAGGACAUGGAGUAGCAUUUCAGGACCUACAGCAAGACGUUGGAUGAAGGCACAGCCCUAGGAAUCACACACAUACACAGACACAUUUGCCCAAAUUAUAGAGGUAACCUCCUAUGCCCAGAGGAAGGGCAGUACAGUAGCCAUGGAUUCCCUACAGGUUUCCUCCCCUCUGGAGGUUUUUCCUGUCCUGAGUAUUAGUUACUGUACACUCUUUGUGAGUGAUGGGAGGUUACAAAAAACCCCUACACAAACAUUGUAAUAAAUAAAGUUUCCCCU